UUGGAAGGGAGGAAGUGUAACAAGGUUUCCGUAGGUGAACCUGCGGAAGGAUCAUUG
rnacentral:rRNA from 1 species